UACAGAGGUCCCAAGCGUUGUUCGGAUUCACUGGGCGUAAAGGGUGCGCAGGUGGUGAGGUAAGUCUGAUGUGAAAGCUCCGAGCUUAACUCGGAAAUGGCAUUGGAUACUAUCUCGCUAGAGGUUUGGAGGGGGGACUGGAAUUGCCGGUGUAGCAGUGAAAUGCGUAGAUAUCGGUAGGAACACCAGUGGCGAAAGCGAGUCCCUGAACAACACCUGACACUGAGGCACGAAAGCUAGGGGAGCAAACAGG
rnacentral:rRNA from 1 species